rnacentral:tRNA from 1 species
GGUGGCUCAGUGGUAGAGCGCUUGCCUUGCAUGCUUGAGGCCCUGGGUUCGAUCCUUAGCACCA